UACGUAGGGACCGAGCGUUGUCCGGAAUCAUUGGGCGUAAAGAGCGUGUAAGCGGCCUGAAAGGUCAGCUGUGAAAACUCGAGGCUCAACCUCGAGACGUCGGUUGAAACCAUCUGGCUAGAGUCCGGAAGAGGAGUGUGGAAUUCCCGGUGUAGCGGUGAAAUGCGCAGAUAUCGGGAAGAACACCCGUGGCGAAGGCGGCACUCUGGGACGGUACUGACGCUGAGACGCGAAAGCCAGGGGAGCGAACGGG
rnacentral:rRNA from 1 species